rnacentral:rRNA from 1 species
GACGAACGCUGGCGGCGUGCUUAACACAUGCAAGUCGAACGAUAAUCUCCGGCUUGCGGGGGUGCUUGGUGGCGAACGGGUGGGUAAUACGUUAGUAACCGGCCCUUCACUCUGGGAUAGGCCUGGGAAACCGGGUCUGUUACUGGAUACUACUUCCUUCCGCUUGGUGUGGGGUGGCGUGGGUUUUACUUGUUUUGGAUGUGAUUACGUCCUAUCAGCUUGUUGGUGGAGUGAUGGCUCACCAAGGCGAGGACGAGUAGCCGGACUGGGUGGGUGACCGGCAACAGUGACACUGGGACACGGCCCAGACUCCUACGGGAGGGAGAAGCGGCAAUGAUUGCAAUAGGGGAAGGAGCCAGAUGCAGAGACGGCGAGGGCGCGAUGACGGUGUUCGCGUUGUAAUUCUAAUUCAGCAGUGACCAAGACAAUAGUGACGGUACCUGGAGAAGAAGCGCCGGCUAACUACGUG